AAUAAUCAAUCAUUGAACUCUGAUAUUUCAAUGGCCCCAGCCUUUCCUCCUCUCAUCUCUUUCCUCUCCAGAGAGAAAAAUUGAAAAUUAGGGCUAUUCAUCAAUGGAAGGCAGUGAAAGCGAGGCGGUUUUCGAAUCGCUGAAUCUAAAACCCCGAGUUCUCGUCAACGAAAUCCUUAACACCGUCGAGAAUUUGUUCGAUGAAGCUUUCGAUUUCUAUCAUCAAGAAGCUUCGAACCUUUUGAAAACCGAAGGCACUGAUAGAUCUCAACAUCUAAACCAGGGUAUUGAUCAUAUUCGCAAUGUAAUACUAUCAAAUGUGGGAAGAAGAUUGGGUAUGUGGCAGGAAUACUGUCUUCGCCACUGUUUUGCAGUGCCUCAAGGUUUCUCUUUACCAAAAAGUGAAUCACUCGAUGAAAGUAUGACAUGCCAUGAUGUGAUCUGUGAUCCAGAUCUGGAUGCACAGUUGGAUUCCUUGAGAAAUAGGCUUACUUUGAUUGGGAAGGAGUCCUCUGAAAUGAAUCGUGAGCUUCAAGCAUUGGAAAGACAAUCUGCUUCAAGUGAUAAUUGUGCUGCACUGGUCAAUGAAGCAUUACAGCUAUAUGAGCAAAAUUCUGCACAUGACAUGCUUCUAGGUAAUUGUUUAAGCAUUUAAUUAUGUUCAAUUUCUAGUUGGCAUCCACAUAAUGUAAAAUUAUCCUAAAGAGAUUAUGAAUAUUGCGGAUAUUAUUUAUAUGAAUUAUGAAGAUACUAGAUUUUGUAGGACUUAGUUAAACUCAUUGAAAGUACCAUGAAUCAUGUACCUUUCUCAAUGGAAUUCUCAUACUAUGGGUCUCUAUGCAGAACUGUCCCCCAGUCAUUGAUGAUUUAAGUGGUUUAACAUUAUGUGCCACAUGACAAUAUUUUUGUUCCUUUGCAUUAUUUCUACUUUAUUUCUUGAAUUCUUUUUUGUUAUUUUCUUUCCAUACUUUAUGUUGUAACUAUCUUGAAGUCUUCUAAACAAGUUCUCAUUCCCAACCACACUGACUGGAUGCAGAAGUUCAUUUUUAUGCCUGUACAUCUUGUACUUUUAACUGUUAGCAACCUUGGGCUCUGCCCUCUGAGGUAUUGCCUUCCAGAACAAAUAAAUAUCUCUCUUUUUUAUUUAUGUGCAUCUUAUAUUUGGCCAAAAGAGGAGAUUGACCUUUUGAAUUUGUGUUCUCUUGGACUCAUUGAAAAAAAAAAUCACUUGAAAUGCAAGAAUCCUCGUCAACUCUUAGUUGAUUAUAUUUCCUGAAAUUUGUUGAAAGGCAAAACUAUCAAACAAUUUAUAUUUCUGUUGCUAAUUACUCUCAAUAAUUGCUUGCCAUAGAGAUGAUGAGAACUGCAUCUGAACUUCGUACGAAAGUAGAGAAACUGAGGACCAAAAGGAUCGAAGAUGCAGGCUGCAUCAGAACAAAGAGGAUUUGUGAUCCAAACAGAGAUUUGUUGACAUCAAAUCAUGGCCUUUUCAAUGCAAAGUUGGAAGAUCUUCAAGAAUUUCUUGGUGAUUUAAAGAAAAUAUGAUCGUCAUACGUUGUUUGCUGUACUUGCUGUAGGGUAUGUUUUCCCCCUUUGAUAAUAGGUAUGUUCUCUCCUGUGCUAUCUGCGUGGGUAGACAUUUGGCAUGAAAAUUGUUGGCAUUUAAUUAUCUUUGAUAGAGAACAUCUCAUAAGAUUUGAACUGGACUAUGUUGUCUUUGCAUGGAAAUGAGCAGUAGAAAUGUUUUUGCCAGAAAAUAUGGCUCCAGAUUAUGAAGGCCCACGCAUGUAUGUACAUAUAUAUAUAUAUGUUUGCUUUGAAUGGUUGUGAAGUAGUGGAAAUGAUGUGACUCAUGAAUCCUCAAAACUCCUGUAUGGAAUUCAGUGAUGAAGAUUAUGAGCCUUAAUGAAGACAAGAAACUAAAAAUCAAGAAAUACUUGUACAGCAAAAGAACCCGGGAAGUUGCACAAGUUCAUGAGCUGAUGAACAUGUUUGUUUUCCAUGGCCAAAUGAUCCACUAUCCCUUAUAACAUCUGGCACGAAGCCCUAAUUACUUUGUAGUGAAUAGAUUGGUUAAGCCGACUUAAUCAGGGAAAUGUGAAAAAAAUAAUCAUCUAAAAU
rnacentral:misc_RNA from 1 species